rnacentral:rRNA from 1 species
UACGGAGGGGGCUAGCGUUGUUCGGAAUACUGGGCGUAAAGCGUGCGCAGGCGGUUGUGCAAGACAGAUGUGAAAUCCCCGGGCUCAACCUGGGAAUUGCAUUUGUGACUGCACGGCUAGAGUGUGUCAGAGGGGGUAGAAUUCCACGUGUAGCAGUGAAAUGCGUAGAGAUGUGGAGGAAUACCGAUGGCGAAGGCAGCCCCCUGGGAUAACGACUGACGCUCAUGCACGAAAGCGUGGGGAGCAAACAGG